rnacentral:rRNA from 1 species
GAUGAACGCUAGCGGCAGGCUUAACACAUGCAAGUCGAGGGGCAGCACGAGGUAGCAAUACCGGGUGGCGACCGGCGCACGGGUGAGUAACGCGUAUGCAACUUACCUAUCAGGAGGGGGAUAACCCGGCGAAAGUCGGACUAAUACCGCAUGAAGCGACGGGGGCCCCGCAGUGGGGAUAUUUGCUAAAGAUUCAUCGCUGAUAGAUAGGCAUGCGUUCCAUUAGGCAGUUGGC